AGGAUCUUCCUCAUCGCCACGGCGUUUAUAAUCGCAUACGUGACCAAGUCUUUGCCUUGCUGUAUUAACUGCCCAUGGUUCCUGUGACACCUGUUGCUGAACCACAUGACAUAUUUCUUGAACCCCGACGCCAAGUGCAGUUCAAGGAGCUUCUUGGCCUUCUCGUUGAAGCAGCCAACGACGGCUGACAUCUCGUCGAGAAGGGACGGGAAGAAACUGCCAUCACACACUGCAUAUUGUUUUUAACAGUUUGUCAACUAACCAACCAUGAAAGUUUUUACAAGAGGAGAAGCUGGAAAAUCAGGGUAGGCAACUUGAUGAUUAUUAGAAAUUGCGAAGUCGGGGUCAGAGGAACAGAUGCGCCAAUCACAGUAUGCUCCUUGCUGGACCUAUGAGCACAGCACGGUUGACUCUAUACUGGUUGGUUGUCUUAGGUUAUACUAGAAUUUUGCAAGCGAAUUUACUAAUAGUUGUCAUCGCGUUCGGCACUUUGACCUAUAAACAUUAGCAUUUUUAAUUUGCUAGACGUGCCCACAGUAAAGUUUAGUGCCUGAAGCCAUCCCCAGGAGUGGAUGUUGGCUCUCUUGGCCUCGUACUGGUAGCGUAGUGGCGCCUACAAGCUGUGCUGGUCUCUGGUUUAUCUCUUGCUUCUGCAACUGAUGGUAGAACAUGCAAGCAUACAGCCAACAGCUGUGUCAACCA